UCUUGCCUUGUCUCUGAAACUGAGGCGCCCUGUUUCCCAGAAUGGAAAAAGUCAAAUCCGUAUCUGGUUUAUCUUUCAGCAAGAGAGCGACUCUACCUUCCUGAGGUCCCAGACAAUCUCUGCACGUGCAUCCUGCCCGUGGCAGGCCCGGAGGAGAGGGUUGUCAUGGCAACGGCGGCCGAAUUUAGGACACGGAGGAUGUUUGGGCCCUGCUGCAUCGUUGACCGAAAGUUGUGCCGUGUGACUGUGACAGCAUCGCGACUGCCCAUUCGGGGCUCUGGGUGCAUGUCUCCCUCUCAAAGUUGUGAGCAUUUUGAUGAGCCAAGGAUCCUGAACAUGCAUGGUGAGGAAGGAGAUGACCCGAAAUAAGAGUUCUCCAGGGGAGAGAAUGUCAAGUCAGGGACUCAAGGAGAGAGGACAAACUCUGGGCUCAAAGGACUACGUCACCCAACGAUGGGGACAUCCAUAGCGAUUGCUAUUACACCCAUUGGACCUGUCUGCAAAGGGGCUGGCAUGCCUGAGAAUCAAGGAAUAAAUCAGGAAUAUGUGUGGCUGAAAAGACCCAAUAUGCAAACAGCUGUCCUUUGCUCUGGACAAAAAGCAGGGCUCUGAAUGUUGCUGUUUCUUCAGCCCCAAAGACACCAGACUCAGAAGGCCCAAGGAGCACUGAUUUGCCAGAAAUGGUGUGAAGUUAUUCUUGUGCUCAAGAAGUCUACCCAGGGGAACUGGCUGUCCCUACUGCCAUCAGCUGAGAAAGAAACAGAACUCACAUUCUGAGGAGACCAGUGUCAGUUUUCCAAGAUCCUACAGACUCCUCGGGCCGCCAGAGAAUUCUGUCGGCGCUCGCUCGGAGCUGGCUGCAAUCUCUUGUUAAAAUCAUGAUCCCAUUAGCCGUGGAACUAUUAAUCUUCUUAUAGACUGUUAGACAGAAAACCACAGGCAGUGAAAUAACAGCUGGUUGGGGGUGACGAAACUUUCAAAGGGCACAGUUGAGGGGCCCGGAGUGAAACCACACACCAAAGCCCAGCCUUUAGGCAACAAACCCGAUUACUAUCCCCCAUAGGCUGGCUGAAACUCGUCCAGAACUGGGAAGAUCCACAAGGUGGGUGUGAGAAGCCUGAAAUGACCUGUUACUCAUGCCACUCACUGCUCAAGCCCUGGAGGAGUCAGCCAAAAACUAAAAUCUCUGAGUUCACAAAAAUUCUGACCAGCUUACCACACAUCUCUCUCCCUUCACUUCCCACACUUAUCCUUGUCAGUAACAGCACGGGCACUGGCGAAUUGCCUGGCGAAAGGUCUGGGUGCAGGUUGCAGAAUUUCUUUUCUAUUAGGACUCAUAUUUGCUCUCAGGGCAAUUUUCUCUGUACCUAGCCUGGGCUUUAGCUCUAUGCUGGCAUAAACAGUUACAUUAUUUAAGCAGAAUUUAGUCCUGUGAGUCCCGGCACUUAAACUGAGGAUAACAGUAGCCAAUCGGGUCAGCCACAGGGGGAUUAUAGCUUGAAGGACAGGACCUCUGCCAAAUUUCUGAGCUCCCAAUGGCUCCCAGUAGUCUCUAGGCCUGGAUAUGUAAGUUGGAUUUGAUACAGAUGUAAAGUUACUCAGCCUUCUUCCACGAGCCAGGCAGAAUAUCAAUGAGAAAAAGGAAAUUCCAAUAUUCAGCUGCAAACUGUCACACCACGGGGCCGCAGAGUAUAGGGGCAAGAGUAUUCCUUGAGAAACAGCCGGUAGAGCCUAGCAUCUCUGGUGCCCGACAGCAUUUUCCUAGGUGCCUGUGAGAGGUAUAUCAUGGUAACGACUCAAGGGUUACCUUAUCUAUUUUCCAGGGCUUUGCUUUCUCAGAUAUUUUCCUUUUAUGAUUUGCCAAAAGAAAUCUCCUGCGUGAGGAUGUGGAACAAGACUCCUACAUUGCCGAUAGGGCAUGCACUUUGCAAAAAAAGUCUGGUAGUUCCUCAAAAAGUUAAACACAGAGUUAUCAUAUGACCCAGCAAUUUCACUCCUAGGUAUAUACUCAGGGGAACUGAAAGCAUGCCUACAAAAAAUGUGUAUAUGAGUGUCCCUAACAACAUGACUCAUAAUAACAACCCGAGUGUCCAUCAACGGAUAAAUGGGUAAAGGAAAUGUGCUAUAUCCAUAAAAUGGAAUAUUGUUCAGCCAUGAAGAGGGAUGAAGUACUGACACAUGCUGUGACAUGGGUGAAAUGUGAAAACAUGCUAAAGGAUAGAAACUAGACACGAAAGGCUACAUACUGUAUGACUCUAUUUAAAUGAAAUGUUUAGGUGAAGCAAAUACAUAGAGGGCAGAAAGUAGAAUUGUGGUUGCCUAGAACUGGGGUAAGUGGGGUGGGGAGUGACUGCUAAUGGAUAUAGGGUUUCUUUUUGGGUGAGAAAACUGAUCUGGAAUUGGUGGUGAUGACUGCACGUACUAGAACCCACCAGAUUGCAUGCUUUAGGAUGGUGAAUUUUAUAGUAUGUGAAUACUAUCUCAAUUAAAAAAAAGAAAUCUUUGCCAAAAUGAAAUGACACUCUAGUAGGAAUUUAUAGCUAAGGGACAGAUUCUGAAUUUGUACUUGGAGAUUCACAUGCUUAUUUUGACUGUGGAUGGACAUAUUUUGAGCAUUUUAUGAUAUCUAUAAGAAGUACUGUUUAUAAAAGGGUAAAAUCAUGACUCUCAUACAAAUGUAAAAUAAACCCAUAUCAGAGGCUUUAUUUAAUUCAUGAAUUAAUGAAGGAAUGAGUAACAUUAACAACAGGUUCAAAGGAGAAUUCGAAGAAUGAAAAAUACGUGGGCAUAAGGGAUAAUGGAAUGAAACUUCAAAUAAUUAUACAACUGGUCUACCCACAAGGCAAUAAUCAAUUGUGUUCCACAGGACAUAAUUCAUUUCCAUUUGUAUAGAGAAGAAUCAUUUGCAUUCCUGUCGAUUUUCUCCAACUUACAAAAAUUGUAAAAUAGCUCAAAUCAAUAAAAGGCAGAGGAAAAACCCCAGAAGAAUGCGCUAGAGAGGAGACCCAAUAAUCAAAACUGUUUGUCCAUUUCCAAGGUCAUCAUUUUUCUUGCCUAAGAUAUUGUAGGUGCUUUGUUGGUUGAGUGGUGGAAUGAAUGAAUACUAUUGUUUUCAUUAUGAGUAUCGUAGAUGACAUAAUAAAUGACAGCCAUGUCAAUCACCAUCCAUUUGAUAAACAUAUAUUUAAUAGUUAUAUGUAGUUGGGGAGAGCUGGGUGGGAGGCACAAAUUAUAUUGAAUAUGAAAGUGAUUAGCCUCUUAAUGAGAAACACUGUCAGUGUAAGAGAGAGUUCCAGAGGAAGGAGGGAUCUCUGUGGGUUGGAGCAAUCUUUGGAAGGAGGUGAUACUUGGAGCUGAACCUUCAACACGACAAAUAUUUGAUAAUCCAUCACUAAAGGCAAUAGACUAACCUACAUGCUUGGAUUCAGGAGACACCCAACCCGGGCUGAAUCCCAACUUUGCUAUUUGUGUAAUCUUGGACAAGUUACAUAACCUUCCUACCCCGGGGUUUUCUCAUUUCAAAACAAGGCUAAUAAAUGGAACCUAUCUCAUGGAUUUCUUGUGAGGAUUAAGUGAGAUAGGAAAUGCAGUGUUACAAAUGGCACCUUGCACACAGUAAACCCUCAGUAAAUGAUAGAUAUGUCCACCAAACUUUCCUGAGGUCCAUUCCUUGCCCUGUAAUAGUUCAAAGUUCAGGGAUGAUAGCCAUGCAUAGGGAAAGGCACUGAUUUCUUAAUAUGUCUAUAAAGUGGAGGCCCACCUGACACUUUUAUAUACAGCAUCUCCUCUAAUUCUUACAAUUAACUUGUGAGUUAAAUAGCAUCAGACCCUUCUUAGAGGUUAGGAAAAGCAAGCCCACUUUGGGGUGAGAAUCAGGGUUUGGCAUAUAUACGCGCCGUCCUUAGAGCAGGCGUAUAUGUGCAUGGUGCUCAGAGAAGGCAGAAGAGAAAUCUUUCCCUCUCAGGAGAAAUACCAUGGCAGGGGGACAGCCUUCUGUGUUAGGAAAUGGCUGAACAGAGGCACAAAAGCAAAUGGAAAAUAGGAAAUGGGUUCUAGAAACAAUGACAAAGGAUACACAUGACAAGGACAAGUGGAAAGACUAAAAAUACCUUUACAUUUGGAUGCAAAUGCACAAAAAGGGUGGAAGCCUGAGAAUGGCACCAUCAGAAGGAGCCAGUAGAAAACCUUUAACUCCUUCUCUCCUGGCCAUUAUCCCUGGGUCAGCCUUGUCAGGCAUUUCAUGGUAGCAUAAGGGUCCUUUUGUUCAAACAUAACCCCAAACAGAUCAGUUAAAAAUGGGCCCGUGAUUGAGGCUGAAGCUGGGUGCAGACCUGCAAAUUGGGAAUGUCUUUGCAUACAGUGGUUUGUAUAAUACUUGCUAAGGGUUAUUUGAAUCUGAUAAGCUCCUUUGUUGCGUAUGAAAAAACCAUGCAUGCCGAGAGUAACAAUCUAGUUAUCCAAACUGCUGGUAUCCAAGAUACUGUCUCUCAAGAUUAAUGUGUUUGCGUUAUGAGUUUGCCUCUGAGUGAGAGACAGUGGUCCUAAAUAAAUUGCAUUGAAUCGCUGUAACAAACAAUAAAAAUAAAUCAACUUCUUGUGUCAAUUCUAGACUGGGGUGAUUUCCACUGUGGAUAGAGCAAGGCCAGUCUUGGGCGCUAGAAUUAAAACAAAGUAAUUUUGUGGAUCAUGAA